GGGGAAUAUUGCACAAUGGGCGAAAGCCUGAUGCAGCAACGCCGCGUGAAGGAAGAAGGGUUUCGGCUCGUAAACUUCUAUCAACAGGGACGAAAAAAAUGACGGUACCUGAAUAAGAAGCCCCGGCUAACUACGUGCCAGCAGCCGCGGUAAUACGUAGGGGGCAAGCGUUAUCCGGAAUUACUGGGCGUAAAGCGCACGUAGGCUGCUUUGUAAGUCAGGGGUGAAAUCCCACGGCUCAACCGUGGAACUGCCUUUGAUACUGCUUAGCUUGAAUCCGGGAGAGGGUGGCGGAAUUCCAGGUGUAGGAGUGAAAUCCGUAGAUAUCUGGAGGAACAUCAGUGGCGAAGGCGGCCACCUGGACCGGUAUUGACGCUGAGGUGCGAAAGCGUGGGGAGCAAACA
rnacentral:rRNA from 1 species